CGGCUGUUUUUGUUUUUCCAAGUUUCCUGUAUGUUCAUCGUGUGUGCACGAGCAGAGGAAGAGAGAUCAUCGAUAUGCUUCGUGAUGGCAACAGGAAGAAGCGUCUGACAGAAGCAGGCUUUGGGAGAAGCAGCCAUCUGCACCUCCUCCACCUCCUCCCUGCUCUCGUUGCUGUCCCAGGUUCUCAUACAUCUCACUGUGCGGCAGGCUGCGCUGUGUCUAUGAGCUGUUCUGUUUAUUACAGAAAAGAAAAAAAAGAAACGUACACACACAGAAGUUCACGGGGGGCUCCUGUCGCCCACCCCUCUGGUAGCACCCCUGGAUAGCAGUAACAUGUAGCCCCAUACGGCUCGUGGUGAAGAAACGUGGCUCGACACUGAGCUGUGUGGCGGCUCCACCACGAGGGGAACAACGUGUCACCGUUUGUGUGGAUGUGACUCCCGCAGCUCCAGCUGGUUUGGACCAGGUCGCAUCUGUGGUGCUUCCUGCUGCAGCCUAAUGUUUGAUCAGCUUCAUCACCAUGUCUGUCAUGAUGUGGUCAUGUGUUCAGUUAGUUACUUAUGGACGCAGGUGAUGCAAGUAUAUACUCCUUUGUUUGGAGGCACUGUACUUGUACUUGUUUAUAUUUUCUGUUACUGCUUUUCUUCCCAUUCAUAUGGAAACACGUUUCAUUGUACUACACUGGAAAACCUAAUGUUGACAUCAUUAAGGAAGUAAGAAGCACAGCAGACAUCAGCAGUUGGAACAGUCACGAGGACUUUUCUUUAUUGUUUCUGAA
ensembl:lncRNA